rnacentral:rRNA from 1 species
GCCUACCAUGCAAGUCGAGCGGAACGAGUUAUCUGAACCUUCGGGGAACGAUAACGGCGUCGAGCGGCGGUAGGGUGAGUAAUGCCUAGGAAAUUGCCCUGAUCUGGGGGAUAACCAUUGGAAACGAUGGCUAAUACCGCAUGAUGCCUACGGGCCAAAGAGGGGGACCUUCGGGCCUCUCGCGUCAGGAUAUGCCUAGGUGGGAUUAGCUAGUUGGUGAGGUAAGGGCUCACCAAGGCGACGAUCCCUAGCUGGUCUGAGAGGAUGAUCAGCCACACUGGAACUGAGACACGGUCCAGACUCCUACGGGAGGCAGCA